rnacentral:tRNA from 1 species
GCCCGGAUGGCGAAAUUGGUAGACGCAAGAGACUUAAAAUCUCUCGGAGGNAACUCCGUGCCGGUUCAAGUCCGGCUCCGGGCACCA